AGAGUUUGAUCCCGGCUCAGAACGAACGCUGGCGGCAUGCUUAACACAUGCAAGUCGAACGAGAAAUUUUUCCUUCGGGAGAAGUGGAGAGUGGCGAACGGGUGAGUAACGCGUAGAUAAUCUACCCUUAAGUCUGGGAUAACCCCUCGAAAGAGGGGCUAAUACCGGAUAAUAACUUUGGUCAAGUGGCUUUGGUUUGAAAGCUCCGGCGCUUGAGGAUGAGUCUGCGUCCCAUUAGCUAGUAGGUAGGGUAAAAGCUUACCUAGGCAACGAUGGGUAGCGGGUCUGAGAGGAUGAUCCGUCACACUGGCACUGAGACACGGGCCAGACUCCUACGGGAGGCAGCAGUGGGGAAUAUUGCGCAAUGGGCGAAAGCCUGACGCAGCAAUGCCGCGUGAGUGAAGAAGGCUUUCGGGUCGUAAAGCUCUUUAUCUCAGUGAAGAUAAUGACGGUAGCAGAGGAAUAAGCACCGGCUAACUACGUGCCAGCAGCCGCGGUAAUACGUAGGGUGCAAGCGUUGUUCGGAAUUACUGGGCGUAAAGGGUGUGUAGGCGGAUUUAUUAGCUAGAGGUGAAAGCCCGGGGCUCAACUCCGGAACUGCUUCUAGAACUGUAAGUCUAGAGAGGGUCAGAGGUCAGCGGAAUUCCUAGUGUAGAGGUGAAAUUCGUAGAUAUUAGGAGGAACACCGGCGGCGAAAGCGGCUGGCUGGGGCCACUCUGACGCUGAGGCACGAAAGCGUGGGGAGCGAACGGGAUUAGAUACCCCGGUAGUCCACGCCAUAAACGAUGGAUACUAGAUGUCUGGAGGAAUCGACCCCUCUGGGUGUCACAGCUAACGCAGUAAGUAUCCCGCCUGGGGAGUACGGUCGCAAGACUAAAACUCAAAGGAAUUGACGGGGGCCCGCACAAGCGGUGGAACAUGUGGUUUAAUUCGACGCAACGCGAAGAACCUUACCUGGGUUUGACAUCCCGUGAUCGUCCUGGAAACAGGAUUUUCUCUUCGGAGACACGGAGACAGGUGCUGCAUGGCUGUCGUCAGCUCGUGUCGUGAGAUGUUGGGUUAAGUCCCGCAACGAGCGCAACCCUUGUCCUUAGUUGCCACCAGGUUAUGCUGAGCACUCUAGGGAGACUGCCGGUGAUAAGCCGGAGGAAGGUGGGGAUGACGUCAAGUCCUCAUGGCCUUUAUAUCCAGGGCUACACACGUGUUACAAUGGCGACCACAAAGAGUAGCGAUACGGUGACGUGGAGCGAAUCUCAAAAAAGUCGUCUCAGUUCGGAUUGUAGUCUGCAACUCGACUGCAUGAAGUUGGAAUCGCUAGUAAUCGCGGAUCAGCACGCCGCGGUGAAUACGUUCCCGGGCCUUGUACACACCGCCCGUCACACCAUGGGAGUUGACAGGGGCAGAAGACGUUGAGCUAACUUGCAAAAGAGGCAGGCGUCCAAGCUCAUGUUGAUGACUAGGGUGAAGUCGUAACAAGGUA
rnacentral:rRNA from 1 species